UAAGGGGUGCCCUAAUAUGACGGGCUGAGAUCAUACCCAUUGACCUGAUCCGGGUAAUACCGGCGUAGGAAAAGAGAAGA
rnacentral:ncRNA from 1 species